CGUCUGCUGUGAAAGCCGGGCUUACCCGGGUGUGCAGUGGUACGGCAGACUUGAGUGCAGUAGGGAGACUGGAAUUCUGGUGUAGCGGUGAAAUGCGCAGAUAUCAGGAGGAACACCGAUGGCGAAGGCAGGUCUCUGGGCUGUUACUGACGCUGAGGAGCGAAAGCAUGGGGAGCRAACAGGAUUAGAUACCCUGGUAGUCCAUGCCGUAAACGUUGGGCACUAGGUGUGGGGAACAUUCCACGUUUUCCGCGCCGUAGCUAACGCAUUAAGUGCCCCGCCUGGGGAGUACGGCCGCAAGGCUAAAACUCAAAGGAAUUGACGGGGGCCCGCACAAGCGGCGGAGCAUGCGGAUUAAUUCGAUGCAACGCGAAGAACCUUACCAAGGCUUGACAUACACCGGACCGGGCCAGAGAUGGUCUUUCCCCCUUGUGGGGCUGGUGUACAGGUGGWRCAUGGUUGUCGUCAGCUCGUGUCGUGAGAUGUUGGGUUAAGUCCCGCAACGAGCGCAACCCUCGUUCUAUGUUGCCAGCACGUGAUGGUGGGGACUCAUAGGAGACUGCCGGGGUCAACUCGGAGGAAGGUGGGGAUGACGUCAAAUCAUCAUGCCCCUUAUGUCUUGGGCUUCACGCAUGCUACAAUGGCCAGUACAAUGGGUUGCGAUGCCGUGAGGUGGAGCUAAUCCCAAAAAGCUGGUCUCAGUUCGGAUCGUGGUCUGCAACUCGACCACGUGAAGUCGGAGUCGCUAGUAAUYGCAGAUCAGCAACGCUGAGGUUAAUACCUUCCCAAACCRAGGUCUUAAACCCGGUA
rnacentral:rRNA from 1 species